ACAGGGUGUUGGCAGGAUUAAUUCCUCCAGAGACUCAGAGGAAGAAUCCAUUCCCUGUCCUUUUCAGUUUCUAGAGACUGCCUGUAUUCUUUGACCCUCCUCCUCCUUCAAAACCAGCAACAUCAUAUCUCUCUAUUCUUCCAUUGUUGGUUCUUUUUUUAAACUUUGUCCCUCCUGUCCUCCCCUUAGAAGGAACUCUGAUUAUUUUGGACCUACCCGGACAAUCCAGAAUCAUCUCCCCAUUUCAAGAUUCUUAAUUACAUCUGCAUAGCACCUUUUGCUAUGUAAUGUAAUAUGACCACAGAUUCCAAGGAUUAGGAUGUGGACACUAUUAGUGGGCAUUAUUUUGCUCAGCACAUACAUUUUCCAUUUCACCAGGUGAGGCAAUUAUUAAAAAACAACUCCUGCCCUUUAAUGAAUAUCCUAGUGUUCUACCUAAAUUCACUUUGAGUUAUUCCUAUCUUUUUCAAUUUCUCCCUGCCAUUCCCCGAACUAUAUAUUCUGGAAAAUGCCCCUCUACAUUUGGAGGUCAUGUAUAGCCUUGAAUGAACAAAUGCUAACUGAAAAAUAUUAUAUAACAGUAAUGUUUUUAAGUGCCAGAGGGGCCUGGGGCUGUAGCUCAGUGUUAGAACAUUUGCCUAGCAUGCACAAGGCCCUGUUCAAUCCCCAACACCACCAAAAAAUAAGUUAAAUGAUAGAGAAUGCCACAAUUUACUUUGAAAGGACAAAGGGCAACUUUAGUGAUGGGGUUGAGUUAAAAAAUAAUCAUCUGCUCUGCUAUUUUGUUUCUGUGGUAUCAAAACCAAAACAUGAGAGUAAUUGGGGAACAACUUAAGAAACAUAAGAAAACUAUUUGAUUUCCUAAUGUAUGAUUUUUAAAAAUACUAUUUUAAUAAGGAGUCUUGCCUAUGUUUCUGUAACAAAGACAAGAUUUUAAUAGUUUUAUGGAGAUUUAAUUCACAUAUAAAAACUACACACUUAUAAAGUGUACAAUUUGGCUUGAUAUGUCUUAUAAUGAAAGCAUUAUAUCAUUAAGUAUAAUGAAAAUAUCAGCGGAACUAAACAUAUCCAUCACCCUUUUUGACCCACUGUAAUCCUGCCUUCUUUGUCCUUCCACUCCCAUGCAACCUUUAAUCUGUUUACUAUCACUAUAUAUUAGCUCCCAUUUCCUAGACUUUUAUAUAACUGUAAUUAAUUAGCAUAUACUACUUUUUUGCUUUUUUGGGUCUGGUGCUUUUCACUUAGCAUAAUUAUUUUGAGACUCAGCUAUGUUAUAGCAUGUAUCAAUAGUUCAUUCCAUUAUAUUGCUGAGUAGUGUUCUAUUAUAUGGAUAUGCC
rnacentral:lncRNA from 1 species